GUGUCAGCAGCCGCGGUAAUACGGAGGAUGCAAGCGUUAUCCGGAUUUAUUGGGUUUAAAGGGUGCGCAGGUGGUUUUAUAAGUCAGUGGUGAAAGUCUGGCGCUUAACGUUAGGAUUGCCAUUGAUACUGUAGGACUUGAGUAUGGAUGAGGUAGGCGGAAUGUGUAGUGUAGCGGUGAAAUGCAUAGAUAUUACACAGAACUCCGAUUGCGAAGGCAGCUUACUAAUCCAUGACUGACGCUGAGGCACGAAAGCGUGGGGAUCAAACAGGAUUAGAAACCCGCGUAGUCC
rnacentral:rRNA from 1 species